UACAGGGGGGGCAAGCGUUGUUCGGAAUUACUGGGCGUAAAGGGCUCGUAGGCGGCCAACUAAGUCAGACGUGAAAUCCCUCGGCUUAACCGGGGAACUGCGUCUGAUACUGGAUGGCUUGAGAUUGGGAGAGGGAUGCGGAAUUCCAGGUGUAGCGGUGAAAUGCGUAGAUAUCUGGAGGAACACCGGUGGCGAAGGCGGCAUCCUGGACCAACACCGACGCUGAGGAGCGAAAGCCAGGGGAGCAAACGGG
rnacentral:rRNA from 1 species